rnacentral:rRNA from 1 species
CCACGCCGUAAACGAUGAGCACUAGAUGUUGGGGGCGCAAGUCCUCGGUAUCGAAGUUAACGCAUUAAGUGCUCCGCCUGGGGAGUACGUACGCAAGUAUAAAACUCAAAGGAAUUGACGGGGACCCGCACAAGCAGCGGAGCAUGUGGUUUAAUUCGAAGCAACGCGAAGAACCUUACCAGGGCUUGACAUCCCCCUGAAAGGUCGGUUAAUCCCGACCCCUCUUCGGACAGGGGAGACAGGUGGUGCAUGGUUGU